AGCUUGUUGAAUUUUUAUAACAGGUUUUUUCUGCCCGGUGUUAAUUAAACGGCCGCGGUAUUUUGACCGUGCAAAGGUAGCAUAAUCAUUUGUCCUUUAAUUGGGGACUAGAAUGAAAGAAAGUUUGAAGCUUUAGCUGUCUCUUUUUUGUUGUUAUAAUUUGCUGUUUUUGUGAAGAAGCAAAAGUAUCUAAAAAAGACAAGAAGACCCUAUUAAGCUUUAUCUUUUUGUUUUUUUUUAUUUUUAUAAAAACAAAAAGAUUUGGUUGGGGUGACUAAAGAAGAUAUUAAUCUUCUUUUUUUGUUUAUAACAAUAUGUUUAAUAUUGACCCAAAACUUUUUGGUUGUAAAAAUUAGUUACUAUAGGGAUAACAGCGUAAUCUUUUCACAGAGUUCUUAUUGAAGAAAAGGAUUGCGACCUCGAUGUUGACUUAUUUUAUCCUAUGAAGGUGUAGCAGCUGUAAGGGUUGGUCUGUUCGACCAUUAAAGAAAU
rnacentral:rRNA from 1 species